UUCUGUUAAAUAUUACACCAGCUUCCACAGAAAACUAGUAAGUUUCCAUCACUUCCACAGAAGACUGCUUCUUUCAAAAAGAGAUCAAUCUUGAUGUCUUAACGGUUAUUCAAUGGUUCUGUAUUUAGUAUUAAUCUCUCUCUUUCAAACAAACAGGUUUGCCAUGACUGCCAGUCAGGAAACUAUUAAAAUAACAGAUGCAGUCUUGUAUUGUGAAUCUGAUAUCAGUCUUCUUAUCUGAUAUAGAAUGAGCUGUAAGGGCUUGCCCACAAUCAGGGCAUUUCUUCUACCCAGGCACAAAUAAUAAUAUAUGGAUUACACACAGGAUCAUAUUUACAAGAUUCUUUUAAGGUUCAAAUAAGUUCACAUUGUACACGUUUAGAUCUUUCAGUUUUAUUAUGUCUUAAAGAUACUUUUGGUUUUGGAUAUUUUUAUGGGGCUAUAGUACCCAAGAUCCAGUGGAUGUGGAGCUUGGGCCAAGGCAGAUAAGACUAAUGGCCAGUGUCAUGGAUCCACCAAUGAUGUCAGUCCGAGCAGCUGGCAUUCCGGGGCCUCACCGCUCUCCAGUCCAUAAGUCCUCUCCAGAGCCUGCUUCAGUUCAUGAAUCCGCUCCAGAGCCCACUCAAGCCCCAGAGCUCAGUCCUGUGUUGGCGUCAACCUGUGAGUUUCCAUCCUGUCCUGUUUUGACCACAGUGGUCACGCCCAAGGAGGCCAGCCCUGAACUCUCUGCCAGUCCUGCCAUGACCAAGGAGGCCACUCACAAACUCUCUGUCUGUUGCUGCCACUGAUAGGAUUCAAGGUUACUCUGCCUGUUCUGUCACAGCCAGGUGGUCUGUCCAUGUCUCUGCUCUACCAUGGCCUCCUGACCUGUGGUGGUCUUCUGCUCUGCAGGCUUCACCUUGGUCACCUGCUCUGCUCUGGUCACCUGCUCCACCGGUUCCACCCUGGUGGUCAUUUGCUCCACCGUUAGGAUCUUCUGUCCCACCUGCUCUGCCCUGGUAGUCUUUGGCUUGCCCUGGCUUCCUGCUCUGCCGGCUCUACCAUGCUCUCCACUACUGCUCCAUGGACAAGGUCCUCCAUUACUCCAUGGUCCAGGCCCACCUCUGCUCCACAGUCCAUGGUUUCUGUCAUUGCUAAACGGUCCAGGCCCAUCUCUGCUCCACGGCCCAUGGUCUUGCCCACUGCUCCCCAGUCCAUAGUUUCCAUCAUUGUUCCACGGUCUAGGCCAGCCACUGCUCCACAGUCCAAGCCAUGAUCCAGGUCCUAUUCUCCUUCAAGGGCCUGGCCCCUGUUCCACCUCCGCAUGUGUGUUUCCCUUGCCCUUAUG
ensembl:lncRNA